UACGUAGGGCGCAAGCGUUAUCCGGAAUUAUUGGGCGUAAAGAGCUCGUAGGCGGUUUGUCGCGUCUGCUGUGAAAACCUAGGGCUUAACUCUGGGCGUGCAGUGGGUACGGGCAGGCUAGAGUGCGGUAGGGGAGACUGGAAUUCCUGGUGUAGCGGUGAAAUGCGCAGAUAUCAGGAGGAACACCGAUGGCGAAGGCAGCUCGCUGGGACGGUACUGACGCUGAGGCGCGAAAAGCGUGGGGAGCAAACAGG
rnacentral:rRNA from 1 species